UAAGACCCAGUUCACACCUUUAAUCCUAGUGCUCUGGAGGCAGAGGCAGGGGGAAACUGUUCAAGGCCAGCUUGGCUUAUAAAGCAAGUUCCAGGACAGCCAGAGCUGUCGUUACACAGAGAAACCCUGUCUCAGAAAAUCAAAACCAAACCAAAACGAAAAAACAAAAAGCCCAGCUUUUGCCACACUUGAGUAGGACUUCUGUGCUCUUCCCAGCGAGUCCGUUCCUUAGGCGAGGUACCUUCCUGCUAACUCAUCCAGCUCUCUGACUAGACUCACCAGAUACUUCUGAGAACACAUCCUGGGGAUUCCAUGAGGGCUGGAGACACUUGUUUUCAACCACAACAUUGGAGAGACGGUUAAGAGCACAGCUGCUCUUCCAGAGGACCUGAAUUCAGUUCCCAGCACACACAUGCUGCCCACAACAAUCUGGAACUCAGGGAAUCUGAUGCCCUCUUCUGGUCCCCAUGGACACUGCACAGGUGUACACAGACACGGAUGCAGACAAAACAC